rnacentral:rRNA from 1 species
GAUGAACGCUGGCGGCGUGCCUAAUACAUGCAAGUCGAGCGAACAGACGAGGAGCUUGCUCCUCUGACGUUAGCGGCGGACGGGUGAGUAACACGUGGAUAACCUACCUAUAAGACUGGGAUAACUUCGGGAAACCGGAGCUAAUACCGGAUAACAUGUUGAACCGCAUGGUUCAACAGUGAAAGACGGUCUUGCUGUCACUUAUAGAUGGAUCCGCGCCGCAUUAGCUAGUCGGUAAGGUAACGGCUUACCAAGGCAACGAUGCGAAGCCGACCUGAGAGGGGGAUCGGCCACACUGGAACUGAGACACGGUCCAGACUCCUACGGGAGGCAGCAGUAGGGAAUCUUCCGCAAUGGGCGAAAGCCUGACGGAGCAACGCCGCGUGAGUGAAGAAGGUCUUCGGAUCGUAAAACUCUGUUAUUAGGGAAGAACAAAUGUGUAAGUAACUAUGCACGUCUUGACGGUACCUAAUCAGAAAGCCACGGCUAACUACGUG